UAUUUAUAUAUUUAUAGACGCAUACAUAUAUAUUCAUACACGGUUCACAUAUAUAUCUUUGUAUCUUAUAAAUUUAAUUUGGUAUUUCCAUAACAUGAUAACUUUAUUAUUUAUUUGUAUUGGGUUACAAUCAAGUAUUUAGUACUGCUAUUUUUUAAAUCUAAUAUUUACAUAUAUUAUUGAAUUAUUAAAUAAAAAUAUAUUAAUAUUUUAUUUACUUGUAUAUUCUAUACAUUAAAGGCAAAACUGACUAUUUGUCUAUAUACAUCCAUCUAAAGAAUCAUACAUCUAUUUAUUAAUCUUUUUAAUCAUUUACCUAUUUUUUGAUUGCUUAAAAUUAAGAUCUGUUCAAAUUCCAUUUGAAUGAUAUUUUAUAAGCAAUUCAAAACUUGUGCCUAUCUAAUAAUCUCAUGUUAAAGAAUAAUACAAUUAUAGAUUAAUUUACGAAAUAAAAUUCCAAUCAAUUUAAUUAUUGCUAAUUGCAAAAAGAAGAGCUAUUAAUAUCUUCAAUUCAAAGAGUUGGUAGCUACUCACAAGUUUUUAUUUAAAUUUUUUACUUGUUAAAGAAAGAACUAUACAUAAAGAAAUUAUUGCAAAAUUUUGGAAGAAAGAUGCACUAACAAUAAGUCAAUAGUAAAAUAUUAAAAGAAGCCCCUCAUAGCUUGUAUUAUAGAAAUUUGUAGUAGAAGUAUAAUUGGAAGAGAGAGAUAUUUACAAAAACAUUGUUACAAAGUAACUAAAGAUAGCACUACUUGUAGCAUCCUGUCAUAAAAGACCUACAACAAAACCUAAGAGAAUAACAACUUGUAAGAACUACUAAGUUUGAUCUAAGGAUAUGAUACAAGCAUGUGAUUAUCAUAAUCAAUUUUAUCUUGCAUGUCAAGGAAGUAAUAUGCUUUUAUACUCUAUUUUUAUACAUCACAUAAAUAAUUUAUUAUAUAACUUAUUUUGAUUCAUAAUUUUAAUAUAUACUUAUUUUUAAAUAAGAAUAAGAAUAAAAUAAGAAUAAAAUAUUAUUAAUAUCAAUGUUAUGACAUAGCAAUUCACAUUUUUGAUAUAAUUACUAUGCAUAGAUCAAUUUAGUAUUAUUUUUUUUAUAAAUUUGAUAAAAAUUUAAAAUUAAGCCUUUCAAUUUUUAAAAUAAUAUAAAAAAUUUUAAAGUGAAGUUCAAUUAAACUUGACUUAAAAUGCUUGACUCAGAUAAUGAACAAAUUAGAUCUUAAUGAUAAUUUUUAUUUUAUUAAUAAGUCCUCAAAAUUCAAAUUUAAUACCAUAGACCUAUUGCAAUAGACCAAUUUUUGGUUUUCUAAUAGAUGCAAUUGUAUUACUUUGAAUUUCAUUAGAAACUUUUGAUAUCUACAUAUCUUUUUGAUUGAUCACUUUUUAUGUUAAUUUAUGCUAUAAACAAAUUUAAUCUGUUGCAAGCACCAAUUAUUCUAUUUGGUCUUUUAUCUAAGCUAUGACAUUCUUUAUUUUGACUAAUUGUGUGAUAAGAAUGACAACUUAGGAACCUUUACACAACAAAGAGAAGCAAAAAAAUAAAAAAUAAAAAAGAGUUAUAUUACAAAUAUUACAUCAAUUUAGAAGAAGGUAAAUUUUAAACUCUGAAGCUCUUUGAUGCUUCAAAAUAUAAAAAACUUAACUCAAUCUUUAUCAAUAAAGAAUAAAUUUAAACAUCAUUUAUGUUUUAUAUUUUUUUAUUUUUUAAGAAUAAAAAUCAAGAUGAUUUUUUCAUAAGAUUAUAAAAUUAUGUAUCAUUAAUAAAAUAUUAUAAAAUAUAAUAAGAGAUCUAGAAAUAAUAUAGAAAUAUUAUAUUUUUAAAAAUAAUUAAAUAAUAAUUAAAUUUAAAGAAAUUAAAGAGUCUUGAAUUAAGAUUGACAUCUAAUAAAGACAUUGAUAAGACAUAAAAUGAUUAUAACCUUGCCUCUAUAUAUACUACCUACUAAGAAAGCCAUGUAAAAGCUUCUUAGGAACCAAAAACUUGUGGCCCAGGCAUCCAAAUUAUAGAUUAUUUCCAUAGUAAUUCUAAUAGAAGUAUUUAUAUCUAUAAAACAUAUCUAUAAGAAUCUACAUAUUUUGUUUAGAUCUAAGAAGUUUCAUUAAAGUUUUUUUUUUUGACUUAUA
rnacentral:lncRNA from 1 species